UUUGCAUGAAUAGUAUUAUCUGUAUUAGAUAAUAUUGUGAUUGUCAACGUAAUGUUAUGUCACAUUGUUUGUUAGUGCAUCAAUGUAACGUCAUAUUUUUUUAUCAUAUUACAAGGUGCGCGCACGCUGAAAAUCAUGACAAUUCAAACAAGAUGUCAAUAGAUUUAAUGAAAUAAUACAUACAUGCAUACCAUAUUUACUUUACUAUAGACCUCAAAUUGUUGCUUAAGUUUUUCAAUUAAAAUAGUACAAGUAUUUUCUUAGAUAUUGCAAACUGCGAUUGAGUAGAGCUUUUCUGCUUUGGCAGUGCUCUUAGUUCAAAAUAUUAAGAAAAUGAAGAAAAUCAUCUUUGUUAAAACCACCACGCGACUAAAAUUACUUUGGAUAGCAGAUCUUGAUCAACCGAAUAAAACAUAUAAUAUAAAUCUACCCAGCGGCUUAAGAUUGUUAGCACAAUUUACAUUUACUGAUUUACACGAAGCCAACUAUUUAUCAUCGCAUUAAAUAAAGAAAAUGGUACAUAGGCAGCAUAACCUGGUAUAAUUUAAAGCUCCGAGUCAUAUUCAUCUUAUUCAGGAUGAGCAGUCCAAUAAAUCAGUCCACUGCAUGCAACAAAAUUUGAUUUAGCAGUAAUCAACAAGCCACCAUCAAACAAGUAGGCAGUAUAAUGUUUAAUCAGUUUCAAUAUUGACAUGAGGGGGGAGUGUCAAUGUUUCUCAAGCUUUUGACUUAUGUGAUGGAAUUGGAAGAAUGUCAUAUGAGUAUGCUUUUAAAUUUCAAUCUGACAGAAGGACUUCAGCAGAAGAUAUAUUUGGUCGCAUUUCGAAACUGUGCGGAAAAUGAUUACUAAAGUAAGGACAGACAUUUAGAACAGAUAUUUUCAAUAUUUACUAACAUGUAUGAUUAUUCAAAAUUUUCUAUUUUUAAUGGUUUUCAACAUAGUUCCUUCAAUUGUGAGUUCAACGCAAGUUUGCAUAACAACAUAAAGGAAAAAUAAGCUAUCAUUAGAUGAUAAGCUUUGUCAUUCUUACUUGAUCAAGACAAAAACACACUGCAAAACACCUGCAAAA
rnacentral:lncRNA from 1 species